rnacentral:rRNA from 1 species
AAUCAACGCUGGCGGCGUGCCUCAGACAUGCAAGUCGAACGAUUAAAGCUCCCUUCGGGGAGUGCAUAGAGUGGCGCACGGGUGAGUAACACGUAAGUAAUCUACCCUCGGGUGGGGAAUAACGUCCGGAAACGGACGCUAAUACCGCAUAAUGCAGCGGCACCGCAAGGUGACAGUUGUUAAAGGAGCAAUCCGCCUGGGGAGGAGCUUGCGGCAGAUUAGCUUGNGGUAAGGUAACGGCUUACCAAGGCUACGAUCUGUAUCCGGUCUAAGAGGACGGUCGGACACACUGACACUGAAUAACGGGUCAGACUCCUACGGGAGGCAGCAGUCGGGAAUUUUGGGCAAUGGGGGAAACCCUGACCCAGCAACGCCGCGUGAAGGAUGAAGUAUUUCGGUAUGUAAACUUCGAAAGAAUAGGAAGAAUUAAUGAC